CCCACCUGUCAAUGCAUCAAAGCACACGCUGGCAGGAAGUCCGCCUGCCCAAUGAACGAAAGACUGUGAGGACCCAUGUGAAAGAGCCCAUGCAGCUGCAGCGUGAAAAGUGAACGUAAGAGUCCAAGACCAUUCAUGCAUGCAAAUGAAGCAAUUACUGACUGAGACUACUCGUUCCUCUCGAGUAUAAAAAAAGAUUAGUUCAAAUGAACGAAAGUUCAUUGACCAACACAACACUAUGAAAAAAAGUACCAGGUACUAUUUUUCCCCGAUGGAAAACCAAAAAAGGCGAGUAGAGUCGAGAAUACUGAAGAUCUGGAUGUGAUGAAGAGCGGACUUCUGAUGAGCUCAAACUGGAUGUGAUGAAUUGAAGGUGAAUGGAGAGAAGGGCCGCAGCGAUUUCACACUGAACUGAGAGGGAUAUAUAGAGAGAGAGAGAGAGAGAGAGAGACACAGGACAGAGAGAGAGAGUGAAUAAAUGAAUGAAUGAAGCAUAAACGUAAUCUUCCUACACUUACCCUGGGCUUCAUUUGUGAUGUCUGCAGUUGUGUCUGUGUAUUUUCUCUAUGUAAAUCCUAGAUGGGUUCCAACA